CUGCAUUUUACAACUGGAGUUGCAAAUGGCGUUUGCGAAAAAAUUCUCGAAAUGCUAGAGACAAAAAGGACGGCAGUAGGGGAAAAGAAGAUGAUGAAAUAAAAAUACAUCGUUGUGAAAGGAACAUUAUAAUAUUUUUGUAAAUGAUACAAGAUUGCAUAAAAACUUUGAAACUCUGUGAAAUUAUCUCAUUUUAACAGACAAUGUUACUACCCUAAGCAAGUCCAAAUCGAUUACUUUUUAGAGAAGUUGGCUGAAUUCAAAAGCUUUUUUGUGGCCGUGAAUAUGUAGUUGAAUCGCACACGUGGAAAAAAUAAAUCAAGAUUGUUCAAUUCCCAUGAGCAAAAGAUGUAAAGAUUUCGCGUGAAAUUCAUUGGUUGAAGGAACUUCAAAUGGACGAGCAAUCUCUACAAGGUUAUUUGGAGCCGCCCAGUCAAAAUCCGUCGGCUCAGGCUCGGGUGAGUAUAAAUUUUAAAAUUUAUAAAUUUAAUAUAUUUUAAUCUCGAUUUUAAUACUGUAAAUUGUUUGGGUGGCUGUGUACUGUAGUUUAAUAAUACUGUUAAAUUUAUAAAUGAUAUAAAUACAAACAUAUAUCCGUGUUUUGUUGAAAUAAUUUUGUGUUGUAAACAUUUAUUGAUUAGUAUGUAUAAAAUACAGUGUUUCAUUUGUUUAGGGGCCAUGUCCAUAUUCAUAUUGCCAGAAAAUUCCUGACUGGAAAGUUUGGAAAUUGUGCGCCGGAGAUUUCGAAAGUUUAAUAGUAAAUAUAUAAAAAGUAUCAAAAUUGUGCGCCGGAGAUAUCCGCCACGCGAUACAAACUUUCCACACUGGCCAGAAAUAACGUUGAAUCGACAUUAUUUCACCCACCCCAGAUAACGUCGAUGAAUAUUCAGUUGUGUUUUGACAGCUAAACUCACAAUUGUUGUACUUUACUACCGUCAUUGGCUGGGGUUGUAUUUUGAUACAAUAUACAAUAUAUAAUAUUUGGAUACUGGGAUGGUUACUUUGGACAUUAAUUGUCAAAUAUUUGCCACGAGAUAACGUUGACAAGUUCACAUAAAAACCCACCCACUCAUAACGUAGAUUUGACGAAAUUUGUGGCAACAUGAAUAUGGACAUGGCUCCUUAGUACAUGUUCUAAGAAUGUUGUAGAAAUUUUACAAUCUACAAUUUUCAAUCCGUCUAAACAUUAGGUGUAUGCAAUAUAAUGUGGGAAAUCUCAUCAAUUUAAUACAGUUGAUGCAAUGGAAGUGUUGACUGUUGAUAAAAACAUAAAAUAUUGCAUGACUUCAUUUCCUCAAGUUGAUCAAUUCAUACGAAUUCAAAUUUCUUUUUACUUCCUGUGCGUUUCCUAUUGGUCAAUCGGUUCUGAAACGAAAUCUAAUUGGCUCAUCCAAAAGUAACAGGAAGUUGAUCAAUUUUCUAUCAAAUGAAUUGAUCAAAUUAAGGAAAGGAAUUGGUGCGAUAUUUUAUCAACACUAAAUCCAUUGCAUCGACAGUAACCAUUAAGUUGCAAUCCAACUUUAUUAAUAAAUACUCUGUCUAACACCAGACAGUUGUCCUUGUCAAGGGGAGAGAACUGGUGCUCAAUGAGUUAACGAGUGAGAUUUUUCAUUCAUUUUCUGGGAGUAUAGUGCUCUCAUCGAUCUUCUAGUUAACCCGUUGAAGGCUAGCACUCCCAUGCUUGGCGGGUGCUAGACAGAGUAAAAUAACAAUAAGCAGAGCACAUUAGGGUGCAGUGCAUCUUAAUUAAUGGAUUAACUAGACACAUGAUUGGGCAGAUUAACCCAUUAAGUUACAAGUAAAGUUGUCUGCCGUUAGACAGAGUAAAAUAACUUAAUGCGUUAAAUACAGUAAGUGUCCACAUUAUACUGUAUUUUGCAAAACAUUAUUUCCUUGCUAAGUAACUGCCAAUAGACCACAAUUUGGGCUGCAUGAUUGUCCAACAUAAAACAAUUGUAAUCACGACAGUAAUCUAAACAAUUGUGAUGUAUAUCCUUUUAAUAGACUUUAGCAUACUUUGAACAAUUCAAAAACUCUGCUGAUGGGUGGAAAAUUUGUGGCCAAGCCCUGUUGCAGGGAAAUGCAAGGUAUGUCAGUUUGAAAUGAAAAUUUCUGA